rnacentral:rRNA from 1 species
UACGUAGGGUGCAAGCGUUGUCCGGAAUUAUUGGGCGUAAAGAGCUCGUAGGCGGUUCGUCGCGUCGGCUGUGAAAUCCCGAGGCUCAACCUCGGGUCUGCAGUCGAUACGGGCGGACUGGAGUACUGCAGGGGAGACUGGAAUUCCUGGUGUAGCGGUGAAAUGCGCAGAUAUCAGGAGGAACACCGGUGGCGAAGGCGGGUCUCUGGGCAGUUACUGACACUGAGGCACGAAGGCCAGGGGAGCAAACGGG